CGGCGGAUCUUAGGCGGGGAGCUAGGGGUUCCCUGAGAGGCCUAACGCCUCGACCGUAAACCCCCUAUAUGACGGGCCGAAAGCCGAGGUGAGGCGCCUAAGAGCAUCAGGCCUCCCUAAUAGCCAAACCAUGAGUACCUGUCCUCUGGGGUCAACGGUCGCGGGGCGCCCUCCGUAGGGAGGGUUGCUACCGCGUUUACCAGGCGAACCUGGCCAGGCCCGGGAGGGAGCAACCUAAGCCUGGACGUUUGGCGCUCAGAGGGGUGCGGGUAUGAGUGAGGAGUUAGGGAGGCUUGAUGAAAUCUGGGCGUCGAGCCUCGGUGAUCCGCCG
rnacentral:SRP_RNA from 1 species